rnacentral:rRNA from 1 species
GAUGAACGCUGGCGGCGUGCCUAAUACAUGCAAGUCGAGAGAACAGAUGAGGAGCUUGCUCCUCUGACGUUAGCGGCGGACGGGUGAGUAACACGUGGAUAACCUACCUAUAAGACUGGGAUAACUUCGGGAAACCGGAGCUAAUACCGGAUAAUAUAUUGAACCGCAUGGUUCAAUAGUGAAAGACGGUUUUGCUGUCACUUAUAGAUGGAUCCGCGCCGCAUUAGCUAGUUGGUAAGGUAACGGCUUACCAAAGCAACGAUGCGUAGCCGACCUGAGAGGGUGAUCGGCCACACUGGAACUGAGACACGGUCCAGACUCCUACGGGAGGCAGCAGUAGGGAAUCUGCCGCAAUGGGCGAAAGCCUGACGGAGCAACGCCGCGUGAGUGAUGAAGGUCUUCGGAUCGUAAAACUCUGUUAUUAUGGAAGAACAAAUGUGUAAGUAACUAUGCACGUCUUGACGGUACCUAAUCAGAAAGCCACGGCUAACUACGUG